AUUGAACGCUGGCGGCAGGCUUAACACAUGCAAGUCGAGCGGUAACAGAGAGAAGCUUGCUUCUCUGCUGACGAGCGGCGGACGGGUGGGUAAUGCCUAGGAAUCUGCCUAGUAGUGGGGGAUAACUUGCCGAAAGGUAAGCUAAUACCGCAUACGUCCUACGGGAGAAAGGAGGGGACCUUCGGGCCUUUCGCUAUUAGAUGAGCCUAGGUCGGAUUAGUUAGUUGGUGAGGUAAUGGCUCACCAAGACCGCGAUCCGUAACUGGUCUGAGAGGAUGAUCAGUCACACUGGAACUGAGACACGGUCCAGACUCCUACGGGAGGCAGCAGUGGGGAAUAUUGGACAAAGGGGGGAACCCUGAUCCAGCCAUGCCGCGUGUGUGAAGAAGGUCUUAGGAUUGUAAAGCACUUUAAGUUGGGAGGAAGAGCAGUUAACUAAUAUUUGACUGUUUUGACGUUACCGACAGAAUAAGCACCGGCUAACUUCGUG
rnacentral:rRNA from 1 species